UUGUAAGAUGGCCGAGUGACUAGGCAUUGGUUUGUAAAACCAGGUAGGAAAAUUAAAAUUUUUUUCUUACAAG
rnacentral:tRNA from 1 species